UAAAAAUUACUGAAGUUAACAUCUUUCAAUGAAAAUACUGCCAUGCAAUCUUUUUUCACUAUUAUAUCAUAAUCAUAAUUUAAACAUUAUAUAUUGUAUAACGAGAAGAAGAAAUAAUUAAUUUUACAUUAUUAUAUUCAUAAAAAUUAUUGAAAUAUCUCAAGUAUAAUAUUGAUUAUUAAGAUAUUACAAAAUGAAAUUAGGAAAAAGACAUUUCGAAAUCGCUACAAAAUGGUAAAUAUUUAAUUUAUUCUUCAAUAAUUUUAUAUUAGUUAAUAUAUCAAUUAAAAUUUAUUUCUAAAAUUUUAAAUAUCUAUGAUUUGUUAGAUUAAAUUAAAUAGUUAAUUAUAUAAUUUAUAUAUGUAUAUAUAUAUAUAUAUAUAUAUAUUUGUUAAUUUUAUUGUACUGUAUUAAAUUUGUUUUUAUAAAUCAUAUAUUAUAUAGAUCAUAUAUUUUGUAAAUCAUAAUAAAUAUGAUUUUUUAUGAAUUAGGAUUCCAUCUUUAAUGGUCUAUACAGGAGCUGCUAGUUUGACAGUGGUUUAUUUCACAGAUUGGAAAGUAAUAGCUCGAUAUAUACCCUUUUAUGGAAGCAAAUUCAAGGAUUAAUAUUAUUUUAAUAUAUUCUUUAAUAAAAUACAUUGGCAAAUAAUCAUAGAAAUUAAAGUCAAUUUAAUAAUAAUAAUGAUAAUAAUAAUAAAGUAUAAUAUAUAAUUA